GUAGGUGAACCUGCGGAAGGAUCAUUAUUGAAUAAAUCUGGUCAGUUGUAGCUGGCUCUCCGGAGCAUGUGCACGCUGGUCACCUUUAUCUUUCCACCUGUGAACACACUGUAGUCCUGGAUACCUCUCGCCACAAGGCGGAUGCGUAGUUUGGCGUGCUGCUCACAAGAGCGGUCGGCUUACCGCGAAUUUCCAGGUCUAUGAUUAUACAAACCCCAAACGAAUGUAACAGAAUGUAAUCAUUGGGCCU
rnacentral:misc_RNA from 1 species